UCCAAGUUUUGUGAUUCACCAAAUCGAGAUGUUGAACAAAAUUUCCUAAGGCUUAAAAAUUUCCCAAAUAUUUGGUUUUUCCUUCUUAAAUAUAUCAUACCUUAAACCUUCACUAGUAUUUAAAGGAAUAUAGGUGACCUCUAAAUUAUAACCCUAAUUAAAAACUCUAUUGUUUUUCUUUGUAGCCGCUUCUUCUCUCUCGCUCUCACCUAUCUCUCUUGCAAGAAAAAUUUGAUGAACAUGUGGAAGAACUCUUGUCACAGAGAGAGUCUUCAAAUGGUGAGAAUUUAACCCAAAAGGAGAAAAACAAACUUUAUGUUAAGAUUUUUGGAAUAUCAAAAUAAGGUCAUGUAUUUGGAAUUGGGUCACUGCACAAUGGAAAUUCUAUGUCUUUGGGUGAUCCAUAUGUCCUACAACCUACCAAAGAAGAAAUGGGUAUAUUAACCCAUCGACUUGAAGAACUUGAAAAUGAAUUGAAAAAGAGUCGUGAUGGAAACUUACUCCUUGAGAAACCUCUCCAAGCACUAGAGGACAACUAUGUUUCCACAAGUUCCCCUGGAAUUUCUAUGUAAUCUAGUUUGGUUUGGCUUUAUUUCUAGUUGCUACUUAAUUAAGUUUUGUUUGGUUUUAUUUAGUUUAUUCAUAAUA